AACGAACGCUGGCGGCAUGCCUAACACAUGCAAGUCGAACGAUACCUUCGUGCAUAGUGGCUCACGGGUGCGUAACGCGUGGGAAUCUGCCCUUGUCUUCGGAAUAACAGUUAUAAAUGACUGCUAAUACCGGGUGAUUUCCCCCUGAGAGAUCUUGGGGACCAAAGUUUUAUCGGCCAGGGAUGCGCCCGCGUAGGAUUAGGUAGUUGGUUGGGUAAAGGCCUACCAAGCCGACGAUCCUUAGCUGGUCUGAGAGGAUGAUCAGCCACACUGGGACUGAGACACGGUCCAGACUACUACGGGAGGCAGCAGUGGGGAAUAUUGGAAAAUGGGCGAAAGGAUGAUGCAGCAAUGCUGCGAGAGUGAUGAAGGCCUUAGGGUUGUAAAGCUCUUUUACCCGGGAUGAUAAUGACAGUACCGGGAGAAUAAGCUCCGGCUAACUCCGUG
rnacentral:rRNA from 1 species